rnacentral:rRNA from 1 species
CGGGACGGGUGAGUAACACGUGGAUAACCUACCUAUAAGACUGGGAUAACUUCGGGAAACCGGAGCUAAUACCGGAUAAUAUAUUGAACCGCAUGGUUCAAUAGUGAAAGACGGUUUGCUGUCACUUAUAGAUGGAUCCGCGCCGCAUUAGCUAGUUGGUAAGGUAACGGCUUACCAAGGCAACGAUGCGUAGCCGACCUGAGAGGGUGAUCGGCCACACUGGAACUGAGACACGGUCCAG